GAACCAAGAAAAACCAAAGGUAAGUCUCUUCUCCUGUCACUCUGAUAAGAAGGCCUUUCGCCAAGAAAUGAUGCCUAAAGCAAGAGGCAUCAGUAAUAAGCUGGAGAUGAUCAAUAAAGAAGUGAAAGACUUUUUAGCUUCUGAGAAAUAUGGUGUCACAACUGCUUCUUCCCCUCAGGUAGAUGUAGUUCAGGAGGUUGGCUUCUUGAUUGCUGACCUGAAAAUCACAGAAAAUGAGGAAAAGACAUCUAUAGAAAAUUUCUGGUCCAUAAUAAAAGAAAAGGCAGGUGUAAGUGAUGAAAUACCAAUAGGCCUGAAGGACAUAGGAAGGCACAUUGCAGAAAAGUGUCAAGGUCUGUCUUUAGCAGCAAAUUUACUUGGAGGUUUGUUACAAAACAAAAGAAGGGAUUUCUGGUUGUCAAUUUUAGAAAGCGGGGUAUUAGAUAAAGAAGAUGUAAUCUCUGCGAUACUCAAAUUGUGCUUUGAAAAUCUGCCAUCUCCAUUCCUCAAAAGAUGUUUUGCAUUUUGUUCGAUGUUUCCAAGGAACUCUGUUAUAGAAAGGGACCAGCUAGUCCAGCUUUGGAUGGCUGAAGGAUUUAUUGACCCAGGGUUGGGGAUUUCUGUGAUGGAAGAAAUAGGAAAUCAAUACUUUGACACUUUGUUGCAGAAUUCUUUACUUGAAAUUGUAAGCAAGGAUAACUUCAACAAAGUAACACAUUGUAAACUGCAUAAUCUUGUCUAUGAUUUUGCAUAUUCUCUAUCAAGCUUCGAGAGCAUCACCAUCGGCGAAAGAGAUCAAGAUGACAUUCGUCAGAUUCAACACCUUGCAUUGGAGUCGUUUACAGAGGAAACCAUGAAGAUUGCCAAGGAGAAAGCAAGAUAUUUGAGGACAUUAUUCCUAAAGAAAAAUUUACCUGACAAUAACUUGCUAAAUCUAAACUUCUUGUAUGUUUUAAACCUCUGUGAUGCAGAUAUAGCAGAAUUGCCAGUAUAUGUUGGAAAUCUAAGGCAUUUAGAAUACCUUGAUCUCUCGAGGACAGAGAUAAAGUCUAUACCCGACUCUGCCUGCAACCUUUACAAGUUGAAGACAUUGAGGAUCAUUGGAUGUAAUUCUCUUGAAGAACUCCCAAAAGAUUUCAAGAAUUUGCUAUGCCUGAGACAUCUUCACUUCUAUUAUAAUGAGUACUUCUCUAUGCCAUAUGAGUUUGGGCGAUUAAGUCACC
rnacentral:lncRNA from 1 species